rnacentral:rRNA from 1 species
ACGGGAGGCAGCAGUGGGGAAUAUUGCGCAAUGGGCGAAAGCCUGACGCAGCGACGCCGCGUGAGGGAAGGAGGUCUUCGGAUUGUAAACCUCUGUCAGAAGGGAAGAAAGGGAUAUGCGCUAAUCAACAUAUCAGUGACGGUACCUUCAAAGGAAGCACCGGCUAACUCCGUGCCAGCAGCCGCGGUAAUACGGAGGGUGCAAGCGUUAAUCGGAAUCACUGGGCGUAAAGCGCACGUAGGCGGCGUGCCAAGUCAGUGGUGAAAUCCCGCGGCUCAACUGCGGAACUGCCAUUGAAACUGGUAAGCUAGAGUGUCGGAGGGGGUGACGGAAUUCCGGGUGUAGGAGUGAAAUCCGUAGAUAUCCGGAAGAACACCGGUGGCGAAGGCGGUCACCUGGACGAUAACUGACGCUGAGGUGCGAAAGCGUGGGUAGCAAACAGGAUUAGAUACCCUGGUA